UACGGGGGGGGCAAGCGUUGUUCGGAAUUACUGGGCGUAAAGGGCUCGUAGGCGGCCAACUAAGUCAGACGUGAAAUCCCUCGGCUUAACCGGGGAACUGCGUCUGAUACUGGAUGGCUCGAGAUUGGGAGAGGGAUGCGGAAUUCCAGGUGUAGCGGUGAAAUGCGUAGAUAUCUGGAGGAACACCGGUGGCAAAGGCGGCAUCCUGGACCAACACUGACGCUGAGGAGCGAAAGCCAGGGGAGCAAACGGG
rnacentral:rRNA from 1 species